AUUGAACGCUGGCGGCAGGCCUAACACAUGCAAGUCGAGCGAGCGGCGGACGGGUGAGUAAUGUAUGGGAAACUGCCCGAUGGAGGGGGAUAACUACUGGAAACGGUAGCUAAUACCGCAUACUAUCGGAUGAACCCAUAUGGGAUUAGCUAGUAGGUGGGGUAAAGGCUCACCUAGGCGACGAUCCCUAGCUGGUCUGAGAGGAUGACCAGCCACACUGGGAAUGAGACACGGCCCAGACUCCUACGGGAGGCAGCAGUGGGGAAGAUUGCACAAUGGGCGCAAGCCUGAUGCAGCCAUGCCGCGUGUAUGAAGAAGGCCUUAGGGUUGUAAAGUACUUUCAGCGGGGAGGCGUUACCCGCAGAAGAAGCACCGGCUAACUCCGUGCCAGCAGCCGCGGUAAUUC
rnacentral:rRNA from 1 species